ACGGGCGUAGCUCAACUGGUAGAGUGGCGGUCUCCAAAACCGUAGGUUGCGGGUUCGAUUCCUGCCGCCCGUG
rnacentral:tRNA from 2 species